UACGAGGGGGGCAAGCGUUGUUCGGAAUUAUUGGGCGUAAAGGGCGCGUAGGCGGUCCGGUAAGUCUCCAGUGAAAUCUAUGGGCUCAACCCAUAGCCUGCUGGGGAAACUGCCGGGCUUGAGUGUGGGAGAGGUGAGUGGAAUUCCCGGUGUAGCGGUGAAAUGCGUAGAUAUCGUCUGGAACGCCGAAGGUGAAAACAGCUCGCUGGGAUUGUGCUGACGCUGAGACACGAAAGCCAGGGGAGCGAACGGG
rnacentral:rRNA from 1 species